rnacentral:rRNA from 1 species
AACGAACGCUGGCGGCAUGCCUAACACAUGCAAGUCGAACGAGACCUUCGGGUCUAGUGGCGCACGGGUGCGUAACGCGUGGGAACCUUCCCUUAGGUUCGGAAUAACUCCCCGAAAGGGGUGCUAAUACCGGAUAAUGUCUUCGGACCAAAGAUUUAUCGCCUUUGGAUGGGCCCGCGUUGGAUUAGCUAGUUGGUAGGGUAAAAGCCUACCAAGGCGACGAUCCAUAGCUGGUCUGAGAGGAUGAUCAGCCACACUGGGACUGAGACACGGCCCAGACUCCUACGGGAGGCAGCAGUGGGGAAUAUUGGACAAUGGGCGAAAGCAUGAUCCAGCAAUGCCGCGUGAGUUAUGAAGGCCUUAGGGUUGUAAAGCGCUUUUACCCGGGAUGAUAAUGACAGUACCGGGAGAAUAAGCUCCGGCUAACUCCGUG